rnacentral:rRNA from 1 species
GAUGAACGCUGACAGAAUGCUUAACACAUGCAAGUCAACUUGAAUUUGGGUUUUUAACUUAGGUUUGGGUGGCGGACGGGUGAGUAACGCGUAAAGAACUUGCCUCACAGCUAGGGACAACAUUUGGAAACGAAUGCUAAUACCUAAUAUUAUGAUAAUAGGGCAUCCUAUAAUUAUGAAAGCUAUAAGCGCUGUGAGAGAGCUUUGCGUCCCAUUAGCUAGUUGGAGAGGUAACGGCUCACCAAGGCGAUGAUGGGUAGCCGGCCUGAGAGGGUGAUCGGCCACAAGGGAAUGGAGACACGGCCCGAACUCAUAGGGGGGGCAGAAGUGGGGAAUAUUAGAAAAGGGACAGAGGGUCUGAACCAGAAAUUCUGUGGGCAGGAGAAAGUUUUUGGGAAUGAAAAGUGCUUUCAGUUGGAAAGAAAAAAAUGCCGGUACCAAAAGAAGAAGUGACGCCAAAAUACGUG